rnacentral:rRNA from 1 species
UACGUAGGGUCCGAGCGUUGUCCGGAAUUACUGGGCGUAAAGAGCUCGUAGGUGGUUUGUCGCGUUGUUCGUGAAAACUCACAGCUCAACUGUGGGCGUGCGGGCGAUACGGGCAGACUUGAGUACUGCAGGGGAGACUGGAAUUCCCGGUGUAGCGGUGAAAUGUGUAGAGAUCGGGAGGAACACCGGUGGCGAAGGCGGCCUUCUGGACA